rnacentral:lncRNA from 1 species
GAAGUUUCCGAGAUUGAAGAAGAAGGGAGAGAGGACUACAGGCAUCGCAGGUUAGAGGCAGUACCCAGAGGUUGGAAUAAAUAUUUACCCUAGUGUUCAUCAGAAAGUGAAUGAAGCCUGGGGAUCCCAGACUUGCCAAAGAUUCUUCUGCCUGAAACAGGUCACAACACAACAAAGGAUAUGAAGGAACACUACAGGAUGGGACAAUGGGUGCCUCGUUGUUAGCUGGUAUGGACAGAUGAUGGGUAACCAGAUAAUCUUCUCUAUGUCAUUUUUGAUACCACCAAAAAUUCUGGGAUCUUGGCAUCACAGCAAAACUCAGAGGGCCAACAGCAUUAAGUGCUACAAAGAGAGCCCCUGCUGAGAGGGCCCCUCGGCUCCUCCCCAAGAUCCCGACAGGAAGGGGCUGCCUUUUGUCACAAUUUGACUGACUGUUCCAGGUCAAUUGAGGGUGAAUCCUCAAACCAGCAGGCUUUAAGGAGCACCUUAGGGUUCAGAGCAGACCUUUUUCUUUUUCUGCCGGUGUGUAGCAGAUCUCCUUCUGCAGCCUUGGCUGUGAUCUCUGCUCCUCUCCCUCUCUGCCUUGGCUAUCUGCCUGCUCUCCUGCUGUCCUCAUCUGUAGGAGCUGCACAGCUCAGCAAGAAACUGUUCUUACUGUUCCCAUCACAGCACUGGAAGAAAAAGAAUACUGAGAUAGUUGCCUAA